rnacentral:rRNA from 1 species
GAUGAACGCUGGCGGCGUGCCUAAUACAUGCAAGUCGAGCGAACGGACGAGAAGCUUGCUUCUCUGAUGUUAGCGGCGGACGGGUGAGUAACACGUGGAUAACCUACCUAUAAGACUGGGAUAACUUCGGGAAACCGGAGCUAAUACCGGAUAAUAUAUUGAACCGCAUGGUUCAAUAGUGAAAGACGGUUUUGCUGUCACUUAUAGAUGGAUCCGCGCCGCAUUAGCUAGUUGGUAAGGUAACGGCUUACCAAGGCAACGAUGCGUAGCCGACCUGAGAGGGUGAUCGGCCACACUGGAACUGAGACACGGUCCAGACUCCUACGGGAGGCAGCAGUAGGGAAUCUUCCGCAAUGGGCGAAAGCUUGACGGAGCAACGCCGCGUGAGUGAUGAAGGUCUUCGGAUCGUAAAACUCUGUUAUUAGGGAAGAACAAAUGUGUAGGUAACUAUGCACGUCUUGACGGUACCUAAUCAGAAAGCCACGGCUAACUACGUG